CUUGUGGAUUCAUUUGCGCUGACCCAGAAUGCAGUAUUUUCUUAACACUAGCAGCAGGCCGCUUUGAUGUUAUCUGCCCGACUGGCGCUCGUGGAGUGCAGCGCCUGCGCCCGAUCUGCCUCGGUGGACGGAGGAGCCAUAUUAAUCAUCGUGAAGUCUGCGAGAGCGCCGUCAUAAAUCGCGCGGCACGGUCCUUAACGGAGAGAGUCCCUGGACGCCCUCUCCUCAUUUAUCAACAUGCUCCGACUCCGGAUGCAGGGGCAGGAGCUACAUUGCCCCAAGCAACCCACAAGAACAGCUAAUCGACACUCUGAGUCCUUUCAUGUUUGUACCUCCAGCUCCUAAAAUGGCCGUGGUUAGGAGUGGCUCAUCAGUGCUGUGUAUGCAGACAGUCGUGGGCGGAAGGCACAGCUGAGCGGAGUAAUUAAGCCCACUUUGGACAUGUGGAAAAGGCAUAGAGAGCGUAGAGUCCUCGGUGGAGCGCAUAUGAACACUUCAUAUGGAUCCAUAGGGAGACACAACUCACAUAGAUACCAGCCUCACUCAGAUGAUGGUAACGGUUUGUCACCUUGUAAAGUGAGGAGAGGAAAGUAGGCUGUCAUGAAUCAUGAGGGAAUAUAGUGUCUUUUUGUUUGCCAUCGGAGGAAUAAAUGCCAGUGAAUGGAGCAGUGAUUUCUACAGUCUGGGGAACCUGUGAAUUGUGGGGUAUGAAAUAGACUGUCAGGGUUGUUUAAGCCUCGAUAGAUUGUUAACAUAAAUCUUUAGUUUUUAGUUGAGGAUUUGGGGUAUUAUGCUUUUGGUCCAUGUUCAUGGGAAUGAUUUUAAAAGGAAGUUUUUGAGACUGUUUGAGAGAGAACUGAACGAAAGACAGAAUUCUCAUGAAUGAAAGGAAAUAGAUUGGACAGGUUUUUAUCAGGAGAAAACCCAUUAAACCGGAGUUAAUGUUAUAUUUCAUUAAUUUAUUAUGAUUUUGCAUAAACAAUGCUGAAUGGACAACAAUAAUUGCCUUUAUUUUUUUAUUUUUUUAUGCAUAAAUUACAGUAGCGACACAUUUGCUGAAUAGAUUCCCAGAUGGGCAUCAUCAAAUAAUUUGCAUGUUUGGCUAC